rnacentral:tRNA from 2 species
GCAGGUAUGAUCUAAUUGGCAAGAUGGCGGUCUCCAAACCGUUUAUGUUGGUUCAAAUCCAGCUAUCUGUG